rnacentral:rRNA from 1 species
CUUGCUUCUCUUGAGAGCGGCGGACGGGUGAGUAAUGCCUAGGAAUCUGCCUGGUAGUGGGGGAUAACGUCCGGAAACGGACGCUAAUACCGCAUACGUCCUACGGGAGAAAGCAGGGGACCUUCGGGCCUUGCGCUAUCAGAUGAGCCUAGGUCGGAUUAGCUAGUUGGUGGGGUAAUGGCUCACCAAGGCGACGAUCCGUAACUGGUCUGAGAGGAUGAUCAGUCACACUGGAACUGAGACACGGUCCAGACUCCUACGGGAGGCAGCAGUGGGGAAUAUUGGACAAUGGGCGAAAGCCUGAUCCAGCCAUGCCGCGUGUGUGAAGAAGGUCUUCGGAUUGUAAAGCACUUUAAGUUGGGAGGAAGGGCAGUAAAUUAAUACUUUGCUGUUUUGACGUUACCGACAGAAUAAGCACCGGCUAACUCUGUGCCCAGCAGCCGCGGUAAUACAGAGGGUGCAAGCGUUAAUCGGAAUUACUGGGCGUAAAGCGCGCGUAGGUGGAUCGUUUAAUUGGAU